ACCCGCUGAACUUAAGCAUAUCAGUAAGCGGAAGAAAAGAAACUAACUAAGAUUGCCCCAGUAGCGGCGAGUGAACAGGCAAAAGCUCACAUUGAAAAUCCUUGGCACAAAGUUAAGGAAUUGUAAUCUAGAGAGGUAUUCGGAGGGGAUGUGGUUAGCAUAAGUCUCUUGGAACAGAGCGUCAUAGAGGGUGAAAACCCCGUAGUUGGCUACCCACGGAUCUAACGAGUGCUUUCAAAGAGUCGGGUUGUUUGGGAUUGCAGCCCUAAAUGGGAGAUAAACUUCUUCUAAAGCUAAAUAUUUAUGGGAAACCGAUAGCGAACAAGUACUGCGAAGGAAAGGUGAAAAGAACUUUGAAAAGAGGGUUAAAAGACUUGAAACUGUUGAGAAGGAAGUGGUAAAAGGGUAAUUAUUUGUGUAAGAUGCAAGCUUCGCUUCCUUUUCUUUGCCAGGCUUUAGUUCUUCAUAGGCUGUGUUUGGUAAACGGAGAGUAGUUGAGUGGUUUUCUUAUGCAAGAAGCAAAAUGAAGUUUGUCUAUGGGAAUAAACUAGYGRGAAGCACCUUCUCYCGGGAAGGAAACUAUUAGCGAAACCAUAGAGGAGCUUGAGGGGCCUGAGGGCGAUUUUGCUAAAAUGACUUUUACCGUCCCGUCUUGAAACACGGACCAAGGAGUCUAUCCAAUAUGCGAGUGUUAGGGUGGAAAAACCCGAACGCAUAAGGAAACUAAGGACAAGUUGUUAACAACAACAGCCGACCUUGCGUUUUUGACAAMGGGCUCGAGCAAGAGCAUAUUUGAUAGGACCCGAAAGAUGGUGAACUUCGCUUGAGUAGGGUGAAGCCCAGGGGAAACUCUGGUGAAAGCUCGAAGCGGUACUGACGUGCAAAUCGUUCGUCAAACUUGAGUGAAGGGGCGAAAGACUAAUCGAACCAUCUAGUAGCUGGUUCCCUCUGAAGUUUCUCUCAGGAUAGCAGGAACAAUAUAGCAGUUUUAUUAGGUAAAGCGAAUGAUUAGAGGAAUCGGAGCUCAAAGAGUUUUGACCUAUUCUCAAACUUUAAAUUGGUAAGAACCGGAGGUUAACUUAAGUGAACCUUUGGGUAGAAUGCUUGUUCCUAGUGGGCCAUUUUUGGUAAGCAGAACUGGCGAUGAGGGAUGAACCUAACGCUUAGAUAAGGUGCCUAAAUCUGCAUUCAUGAGAUCCCACAAAAGGUGUUGAUUCAUUUAGACAGCAGGACGGUGGCCCUGGUAGUCGGAACCCGCUAAGGAGUGUGUAACAACUCACCUGCCGAAUGAAUUAGCCCUGAAAAUUGAUGGCGCUGAAGUGCAGUACCGAUACUAAGCCAUUACAGCAAAUGUGAGGCUGUGAUGAGUAAGAGGGCGUGUCCGUUAGUGUAGAAGCCUUUGGCGUGAGCCUGGGUGGAACAGCGGAUAGUGCAGAUCUUGGUGGUAGUAGCAAAUAUUCAAAUGAGAACUUUGAAGACCGAAGUGGGGAAGGGUUCCAUGAGAACAGCAAUUGGUCAUGGGUUACUCGAUCCUAAGGCAUAGGGCAAGUCCUUGGAAUGCAAUACAGCGUACGCUGUAGCUGCCAAAAGGGAAAGGGGUUAAUAUUCCUCUAGUUGGCUGUGGAUAAAGUGUGGCAACACAAAUAAGCCUGCAGACAUCAGCAUGUCUCCCUGGAAGAGUUGUCUUUUCUUUUUAACUGUUUAUAACCCUGAAAUUGGAUUAUCCAGAGAUAGGGUUGUAAGACAGGCAGAGCAGCUCACUCUAUGAGCUGUCAGGUGCAGUCAUGAUGAUCCUUGAAAAUGCAGGGGAGAUAUUUAUAUCACACCAAAUCGUACCCAUAACCGCAUCAGGUCUCCAAGGUU
rnacentral:rRNA from 1 species